rnacentral:rRNA from 1 species
GUGAGGAAUAUUGGUCAAUGGGCGGAAGCCUGAACCAGCCAUCCCGCGUGGAGGAAGACGGCCCUAUGGGUUGUAAACUUCUUUUCAAGGGGAAGAAAGUUCGCGACGUGUCGCGAUUUGCCGGUACCUUUGGAAUAAGCAUCGGCUAACGCCGUGCCAGCAGCCGCGGUAAUACGGAGGAUGCGAGCGUUAUCCGGAUUUAUUGGGUUUAAAGGGUGCGUAGGCCGAUCGAUAAGUCAGCGGUGAAAUACCAUGGCCCAACCAUGGAACUGCCGUUGAUACUGUCGGUCUUGAAUAUGGUCAAGGUAGGCGGAAUGUGUAAUGUAGCGGUGAAAUGCUUAGAUAUUACACAGAACACCGAUUGCGAAGGCAGCUUACUGGUCCAUUAUUGACGCUGAGGCACGAAAGCGUGGGGAUCGAACAGGAUUAGAUACCCGGGUAGUCC